UCCAGUAUGAGUACAUUGAUGUUGAUCUCACUAACAAGAGCCCUUUGCUUCUCAAGUCUAACCCUGUUCACAAGAAGGUCCCUGUGCUCUUGCACAACGGGAAGCCCAUCGCGGAAUCACUCGUUAUUCUCGAGUACAUCGACGAGACCUGGAAAGCCAAUCCUAUCUUGCCUCAGCACCCUUAUGACAGAGCCAUGGCACGCUUCUGGGCUAAGUACAUAGAUGAAAAGGUAUAAUACCAUUUUUCCCAUGCCCUUUUUUUUUCCCCCCGCAGAGCAUUCUUGAGUCAAAUGAUUUUUUCCUAGGCCUGCAACCCCUAUUUCACUUAGAAACUAAUUGAAUCUAUUGUGUUUAGUGCUUGCCUGCACUGUGGAACGCUUGUUGGUGCGAAAAGAAGGACCGAGAGAAGGCCGUGGAAGAAGCAAACGUGGGCCUGGAAACGCUAGAAAAUGAGCUCAAGGAUAAGAAGUUCUUUGGAGGAGAGAGUAUCGGAUUUGUAGAUAUCGCUGCCAAUUUCAUAGGCUUUUGGGUUGGAGUUCUUGAGGAAGUGGUUGGAGUGGAAUUGCUGACAAUUGACAAAUUUCCAAUAUUAUGCAAAUGGAGAGAUGAGUACGUCGGGUGCAGUGGGAUCAAGGAAAAUCUGCCUUCCAAAGAAAAGCUAGGGGCCUAUUUUCGGACCCGGGUUGAAAGCGCCAGUCAAUCCGAAUGAAUGGUUUGUGGAUGAGGUUAUGCGGACUGCUGCUCAUGGACAUGAGUAACUUGAAAGAAAACCAGCCUUCUGUAUGUUUGUGUAAUGCGUUAUGCUUCUGCUUUUCUAGUAUGUUGUAUACUUGUUUUGGCAUGUAAUAAGGAGUCGAUUGCCGUGGUUUGUCGUUUUGGAUGAACCGGCAAACGUGUUAGACUAUAUGGUCUGUACACCUUUUCCACUCCUCGCUUUGUGAGAAUAAAGGAUGUUGAGUCAAACAUUGACAGUGUGAACUUGAACAUGGAAACAAUAAAGCCCGUCACUCUUGCUUUGUGUGCGGCUCAGAAGCUGAACAUGUAGUCCAGGAGCCGUGAUUCAACUCUCUUACUAACAAAAAGACAACAUAUACCCCCUCAAUCGGUCAUUAAUGACAUAUUUAUUUUCUUUAUUCAUUAUGUCAUCAUGCUAUUCCUUCACUUUUUCCUUCUCAAGUGGAUUAAGCAGAGACCUUGGAAAAAUUAAUCCUUUUGAGGAGGCAGAAGUAGGCAUGUUUGCAUGUGAUUAAGAAUAAACAUCGGCCAUGGAGAAUGAACAUUGUUACAUGACCUAGCCAUGAAUAUAUACUAAAACAUAAAGAGCUAGGAAUUCCCAACUCCACCUCGGGUAGAUUUGGUGUGGAUUGAACAUACUAUAGACGAGAUACGAGUUAGCCUGCCAUCCUGUCCAAUCUAAUUAAGUUGCAGCUAGUCUUAAAAAGAACCAAUUUCCUUCUAAAUAUUCAUUUAGGAACUGGGAAGGAUACCUUUCAUAAACAUGUCAUAACACACUUGACAACCCGGGACUACUAUGGUAGAUUAUGCAUUAAUAGGGCCUCUUUUUCUUCCUUUUUCACUUUUCUGGAAGUGUACACCAACAACUGUGCCUGGGGGAUGAUAUCGAUUGACGAAUUUAUAAGUAUAAAACACCUAAGGUUGUUCUAUGGUACCCAAUCUCUAUUUUGGGAUACCUACCCACAUUUGACCCCAAUAAAAAGAUGACAUGUGUAAAGUACAUAUCAUUAAAAAAUUUAUAAAAACUUAUCAAAUCGGUAAAGAUAAUUUGUUGGUGAGAAAUAAUCACAUGCAUUUCAUCUAUAUAUAAAUAUUAUAACUUUUUUAUAAUUUAUUAUUAAAUAUCAAAUAUAAUUUGUUAUUUAAUGCAUUACCUAACUCUAUCUAAAAAAAGAAAAUCCUACCAACUAUUCUUAUACUCUCAUUAUUCAUAUAUAAAAAAAAAGAUAGUAAUUUAAUAUGAAAAUUAAAUAAUUUCAACUACCAAAUUACAAAAUAUGUAAGACGUAUUUUGAUGAAUCAAAUUUCAAGAUCAAGUUUAAAACUUUUUUAGAGAGAAAAAUUAAAAUUUGUAUUAUAUGAAGAAGAUGAAGGAUUUCAAGUGAUUACAAGUGUCAAAAAUAAUAUUUGAUAUUUUUUUUAUCCAAAUAUAAUUGUUGUAGAAAGAAAUGUGAUGUUAAAUAACGAUUUUAGAAUUUUUUAUGAGUUUAUUAUAAAAUUUUGUUAUCAAAUUGUUACUAAUAUUUUUAUAUAAUUAUUUUUUUUUUGUUCAUAGAUUAAAUUUGAAGAUGAAGCUUUAUAUGUCUUGAAGGAUGUCAAGUGAUUACAAGUGUUAAAAGGUAACCUUUGAUUUUUUUUUCCAUUUACAUAUAACUAUUGUAGGUAGAAAUGUCAUGUUAAAUGACAUUUAAAUAUGUAAUGAUUUAUAACAUCUAGAUUUUUUAAUUUUUUUUAGUUAUUAUUAAUCAAAUUGAGAGCAUUUAGUCAUUUGUUAUGAAAUUGUCAUCAAUAUUUUGUAAGAUAAGGGUACAAACUUUUUAAGAGAUGGUACAAACUUUAGUACAAACAUUGUAAGAGAGGAUACGAACAUUAUAAGAUAAUAUACGAACUUUCUAAGAGAUGGUACGAAGUUUACAAGAGAUUGUACGAACUUUGUAAGAGAUGGUACGAACUUUCUAAGAAAAUAUAUGAACUUUAUAAGAGAUGGUAUGAACUUUGUAAGAGAAGGUACGAACUUUGUAAGAGAAUGUACGAACUUUCUAAGACAAUGUACGAACGUGGUAAAAGAGGAUACGAACUUUGUAAGAAAUGGUACAAACUUUCUAAGAGAUGGUACGAACUUUUUGAAGAGAUUGUACGAACUUUCUAAGAUAGUGUACAAACUUUGUAAAAGAUGGUACGAACUUUGUAAGAGAUGGUACGAACUUUCUAAGAAAUUGUACGAACUUUCUAAGAGAUAGUAUGAACUUUGUAAAAGAUGGUACGAACUUUGUAAAAGAGGGUACGAACUUUUUAAGAGAUGGUACGAAUUUUAUAAGAGAGUGUACGAACUUUGAAAAUAUAAUAUUUUACAAUUACGUAGUGUUUUAAUUUUUUAAUUUUCUUGAAAAUAGUUUCCAUCAUUUCUAUGCUUGAUUAGUAUCAAUAAACAAUAUUAUUUGCAUUUUUAAGUGGAAAAAAUUGAAAAAAUUUUAAAUUUCAGGAUAUGGAGAAUAUGAUGUAGGGUAUGAAGAAUGUAUGGAUUUCUCAUAAUCUUCAUACCUUUUCUCACAUGUUUUGUAUCCUCUCUAAUUUUUUAGUGUUUUAAUUUUCUAAUUUUUUUUAGGAUAAUUUACAUUAUUUCCAAUUUUAAAAUUUUAAAAUUCUUUUUUUUGUAACAAUUCUAUCAAUAAUAACUCAAAUAAUAUUAUUAAACUAUGUUAUUGUUAUUUCAAGUUAAAAACUAAAUAUGAAAUUUUAAAAAUAUAAAUAAUUUAGGGUACAAAAAAUAUGAGAACAGUACGAAAAAUGUGAUAAAUACAUGUUUGGCACUUUCAUCACAUUUUUUAUAUUGAUUUUUAGUUUUAAAAUUUUUGAAAUUAAAAAUUUAUUUUCGAAAAUACUAUCAUUAGUAACUCAAAAGAGUAUUAGUAAUUUAUUUUAUCUAAUUUAACUUUAAAAACCUUAAAUUCAAAAAAUGUAAAAUUUGGAGAGUACAUAAAAAAAUUAGGACAAUCUAAUUACCUAAGUUUUACAUAUGAUUAUCAAAAUGUUGAAUUUUAAUUAAAAUACUCAUUUUAUAUUAAAAUAUUAUCAUAUUCAUUUUUAUGUUGAAUUUAAAUCUUUAAUAAUUUGUUAAAAAUAAAAUAAUGUAAUUAUGAUAUAUGAUGAUUUUUUUUUUUUGCUAAUAAAUAUGUUUUCAAAUUUUAUAUCAUUUUUAUUUUUAUUUUUUUCCAAUUCUAUUUUUAUCUCAUAUUUAUUUUAUUUAAACCAAAAAUUGUUAAGAAUGGAGGAAGAAAGAAGGUCAUGAUUCUUCUCUUAACUGGUUAAGAGGAAUUUUUAUUUCAAAUUUAAAAUAGAUGGCCAAGAUGUAAUAUUGAACAUCAAUGGCUUAGAAAAACUUUUCGGUAGGUACCGAAGAGGUACCCUAGAAUUUUCCAACACCUGGAGGCUUAUUUGCCAAGUAAUCCUAUAAUUGUCCCUCCGUAAGAAGGCGCGAACUUGAAAGAAGAACCAAAUGUAAAAGCAGAACCACAUACUCUUUUAAUGUGGAAAUAGAGAAGUUGGGACCAAGUGAAGCUCAUUGUGAUGUGGGAAAACCCUUUGAAACUAAAAUGAGUCUGGUAUGAUUACAAUGAAGAAGAUCUCAAUAAUAAGAGUUUGUUGCUUCUCUAGUCGCUCUACAUGCUCCCACACAACAUAAAGCCCAUUGUGGAUUGUUAACUUGUAAUGCAUAGAAGAACUUAGAAAGCGGCGAUCUAUGGCACGUUUCUGUAAUGUCCGGGUAUUUUAGGCCACGUUGAAAAUUCUAGUUUGAAAAGUUUUCCUUUGAGUAGUGGUUGAAAAGUCAAAAAAAAAAAAAAAAUGAUUGGAGAAUACGUGUUAAUUUUGAAUUGAUGAAAUUCGAUUUAUUGUGUUGAUCAAUUAGACGAGUUAAAAAUUUUGUGCCACGUCAACCUUAUGGUAGAAAUUUUCUUAGGAUUUUAGAAAUUGAAAAUUUCCGGAAACAAAAAAUGAAAACAAAAAUGAAAAGUGAAUUAAUUAAAAUUAAUUAGAAUUAAUUUUUAUCAAAAUUUUCUUAGGAUAUUAAAAAUUGAAAAUUUCAGGAAACGAAAAACGAAAACGAAAAUGAAAAGUAAAUUAAUUAAAAUUAAUUAGAAUUAAUUUUUAUCAAAAUUUUCUUAGGAUUUUAGAAAUUGAAAAUUUACGGAAACGAAAAACGAAAACGAAAAUUAAAAGUGAAUUAAUUAAAAUUAAUUAGAAUUAAUUAAAUAAAAAAAUAAAUUAAAUUUGUUUAUUAAGAAAAAUUGAGAAAAUUAAAUUUUUGAGUUGGUGUUUAAUACAUUAAUUUGUGUGUUAGUAAAAAAAAUUGGAAAUGAAACAAAUGGGAUAAAUAUAAUAAAAGAAAUAAAUAGGAUUCAAUGGGGCCUUUGGAUAUUGGGUCAUGGAUAAUGGGCUGGUGGUUAAAUGAAAUAAAUAAAAUAAAAUAAAAAAGGAAAAAAGGAAAAGCAAUUAAAAAGUGGUAGAACAGGAGAGAGAGAAAGAGUCCUGACGGACUGUGGAGAAACCCAUCUCGUCAGAACUUUGGCCAACCUAUUGGACGGUCGAACGUCCGUUUCGGCUCAAAUUUUGAAGAGGUGUUCUACUCGACGAAAGAAACGAUUCUACGAUGGCCGAUCAUGAUUUUAAUGGUCGAAUUCUUAAAUCUAUGGUAUGAACUUUUAAUUUGGACUGUAAUGAUAAGUAAUACAUCUUGUUGCUUUUGAGCAGUGUUUGGGAUAUUAUUAGUUGAUGAAAACUCUAGUGUGAGGUAUGUGUCGAAGAAAAAAAAUAAAAAUUCAGAGUGUUUUGGUUGAUUGCGAGCGUAGAAUAAAAGGAACCCUUAGAGUCAAACCUUUGACUUGGGGUCAUGGGCCAAAUUUUGGGUGGCCCGGAAUUUGAGUCGUGAUAGUUUCUAUGCUAAAUUUGCAGAUGAGAAGGUACACCGUACACAUAUCAUUUUCUCAUGUCCUCACUAAAAGCUUACUAACAUUUACUAUCUUUUAGGGUUGCAGCAGCCAUGCAUCUAUGCAUCUCACACAAAAAAACUAAUGGGAGAAUUACCAGAUAAAACCAAUGGAGAAUUACCAAAAUUAUCCUUCAACUAAAACUUUUAAAAUUCAAAGAAUUUAAAUCACUUCACUUGGUUUGUAGGGACAUUUAUGGUGCGUGACCCCUACAUUUAUUGUAAUUAUUGACAUUCAAAUUUUAAAUCAAAAUUUUGAGUUUUAAUUUUUACAAUUAUUAUAUAUAAUGAUAGUAUAAUUUGUUAUUUAAAUUUACUAUUUAAAACAAAAAUAUUUCUAAAAAAUAUUUUCAAAAUAUUAUUUAUUGUGUUUAUUUUUUUACAUUUUUUAUUUCUAAUUUUAAAUUUUAUUAAGAAAAAAACAAGUUUCAUAAUUAUAUAAUAAAAAUGAUGACUUUUUCAUAUCUAUAUUUUUAAAUUUUAAAUUGAUAAGUUAAUUUUUUUAUAUUAAAUUCGAAGAAGAUAAAAUGUUUAAUUUUUCAUUGAUUAUCUAAAAAGAAUAAGAAAAUGAUGAAGAAUGUUUAAUCAUUUUUUAUUUUUUAUAAUAAAAUAAAUUUUUUUAAAAAAAUAUAUGAUUUUUUUUCCUAUGCAUAGUUUUUUUUUUCUUAAUUUUCAUAUAUAUAUAUUUUUUUUCUCAAUGCGUCAAGUGGAUGGUGUCAAUACAUUUGAUAUGUUGAAUAUUAAUGAGGUAUAAAAAGUGAUCUUUAUGAUUAUUACUUUUAUUAUAAACCAUAGGUAUAACACAAAUAUGUUGUAAUCACAAUAUAAAUAUACAUUACAAUAAAACCUAAUUGAAAAAAUUUUGAAAUUUUUUAUAAAAGUGAUAAUUUUGUAUGAUCAUACCAUAUUUCAUGACAUAUUUAUAUUAUAAAUCAUUUAUGAAACUAAAUGAAAUACUAAUUUGAAUUCUUAAGACUAUAUAUAUAUAUAUAUUUCAAUGCACCGAAUGAUCGUUAAUAUAUUGAUAUGAUGUGUUAAUACCAAUAAGAUAUAAAUAAACAUUUUUAUAAUUAUUACUUUUAUAAUGAAAUAUAGAUAUAGCAUAAAUGUAUUAUACUUAUAAUACAAAUACACUAUCUUUACAAUAUAUUGCAACAUAAUUUAAUUUUUUCAUGUGUUGUAUUACCCAAUGAAUAGUUGUUCGUUAAUUCAUUUAAUAGUUGUGUAUUAUUCAAUUGAAUAUUUAUAUAUUAUUCAAUUGAUGAGAAAAUAAUUAUUCAUUUUAUUAGGGUAACAAAGUUUUUAAUUUAUAUUUCAUAUGUAAAAUGAUAUAAUAACCUUAGGAUAUAAUUUUUAUUUAUAAGAUAUUGAAAAUUAUUUUUUGUACGAGGUUCUUUAAAAAAUCUCAAUUUUUUUUGAAAAAAAAACAAUUUUUUAUUUUUUGGAGUAUGAGAAAUAUAAUGUUGAUUACUUGUACUUAUAUCAUGUAUGCACCCACUAAUUAUCACAUCCAACCCACCUUAUCUGAUAAUUCUCCCAAAAUUAAUUGAAUUUAUUGAUCUAUUUAGUGUUUCCCUACACUUUUUGUCAUAAGCAUAGAUGAAAAUUUCAAAAAAAAAAAAAAAAAAAGGUCGAAAUUUCAUGUUUCAGUAAGGGACAAUACAAAAAAUGGAAAAAAAUAUUGGAAAAAAUCAACGAAAUAUCAACUAGGACCAAUUAAUCAAUGAUUUAAAACGCGGAUUUAAUUUAAUUUAAUUGACCAUAAAAAAUAUAAAAUUAUAGUGAUAAUUUUCUUAACUUUUUUUUAUAUCAUUUAUAUAUUAAUUAAAUAUAAAAAAUAUAAAUAUUUAAAAAAAUUAUACAUAUAUAAUCAUUUAUUUUAUAUUAUUUAAUACAAUUGAAUUAAAUGGAUCAUAAUUUUAAUAUUAAAUAUAUUUUAAAAUUAGACCUAUUAUAAUUAUAUAUCACAAUAUUAUUAUGGAAUAAUAGUUAAUGUAAUUUAAUAAUAAAUAUAUGCUUAUAAAAUUCAUAUUUUUUUUAUUGAGGCAUAUAAUAUUAUUAUCAAAUAUGAUAAAUUUUAUUUUUCUUAAGAUAAUUUUGUAGUUUAUUACACUCAAAUUGAUCAAAUUUAACGUCAAUACGUAAAGUCUAGGAGCAUAUAGCAAUUAUCCAUAGGUAUCAUUUAUAAAAAAAAAUGUGUGUAUUUUCCGUAAUUAGUUUGUAAUGGAAGGUGUCAUAAUAAUAAAGAUAUUGAAUAACGACAUAAAUAUAAUAUUAAUAAUAAUAUCAACUGUCUUUAUAAUAAUAGGUAUAAUAUUAAUAAAAAUAAUACUAAUACCAUCAAUAAUAUUAAUAAUGAUAUGAAUAAUAUAAUAUUAAUCUCUCAUAAACAAUAAUAUUAAAAAUAGCAUAAAUAUUUAACUAUAAUAAUAUAAUAUUUAAUUAUUAAUAUUUAAUCCGUCUUUUUCUUUCCUUCUUUUUCACCUGUCGGCCGCCUUGGUUGAAAUUGUCAACCACCCACCCCCACAUAACAAUUGACGUUAGAUUAUUAUAUCAAAUUAUCAAUAUUGAGAGGUUUUUAGAAUUUAAAUGUUUUUUUUAAUUUAACGUUCACAUCUGGAUUUUUUUGUAAAAAAAAUAAAAAUAAAAGAUGAAUAAGUUGAUAAGAUUUCAUGAAAUUCAAAAUUCAUUUUUUGAAUUAAAUUGAUUAAAAAUAAAAUAGAGAUAAUCAUCCUAAUUCAAGAUAUAAAGAUUUUUCAUAGAUAUUUAUAUGAAUUAUAAUUUUUAUUUUUAUUUUAUAAAAAAAAAAGUGAGGAAUAUUGUAUUAGCAAACUAUUUAGGACAAAAAAAUAAGAAAUUUAAAAAAAAUGAUAAUGAAAUUGGCUCUUUUCUUUUUAAUAAAAAAAAAUAAGAAUCUUGACAAUUUUUUUAAAUAAAAAAUAUUUGACAGAUAAUUAGAAAAAAAAAAAUACAUAUUGGUAGUGCACAUUGUGAAUGUUCAACCGUUGUUAUCUUUUGUGGUGAAUAUAAAGUAAAAUUUCUGUGUCAGGCAUCUACCAAACCGUCAUAAUUAAUUGUUAACCUGGAAUAUUGACUGAAAAUUAAUGUUUACCUUAAUAGAUAAGUAAAGUGGGGUGACAUCAUCACUUAGGUCACUUCUGGAGGGCUGCUCCUGUAAUUAAUAUUAGGGAGAAUUGUGUUUUGGGUCCAGCUGGGUCCAAAAAUUAACAUUUGGUCCUCCAAUCACCCAUAUUUAAGUCCAAGGAUAUGAGAUAGUAAUUGACAAAAAUACCCACGUGACUCAUUUUUGUCUUUAUUCUACUACUUGCCACUCAUCUUUCUUAUUUAACCAUUUUUUGAUUUUUCAUUUUUUUAAAACUCUUUAUAAAUAAUUGAAAAUUUACAUUAUUUUUUAUUUUUAAAUUAUAAAUAAACAAAAAUUAUAUUAAUGAUUCAAAGACUAUUUUAGAAAAUACUUUUUAAAAAAAUAUUAAUUUAAAUAAAUAAAAAUUAAUAUUUUAUAUUUAUUUUUAUCAUUUACAUUUUAGAAGUAAAUAAUUUAAUGAUUAAAAUACCAUUUAAAAUAAAUAUAUUCACUAUUUUAUUUUAUUUUUAUACUAAAAAGUAUUUUAAAGUUUUUUUUUACUAUUAUAAAAUAAAAAGUUUAAUUUUUUUUUAAUCUUCUUCCUUCCUUAUUUUAACAACUUUUUGAACAUGAUUUUUAGUAAUAAGUUAUAUGAAAUGCUACAAAUUUAUUUAUUAAUGAUUUUUUUUUUAAUGAUUUGAAUUAAUUGAAAAUUUAUUAAAAUAAAAAAAAUAAAAAAAAUAAAGAAAGGGGAUGGAUUGAGAGUUUUUAUUUUAAUAUAUAUAUAUAUAUAUAUUUUAAAAAAAUUCCCAAAUUAAAAAAGGAAAAAAAAAAAACAAUUCCUCAAGUUCCCAUGAAAAAAAAAAUGUUUUUUUUAAAUUCCCAAAUUAUAAAAAAAAAAAAAAAAAAUUACUCAAGGGAACUCGUCUCUUCAUGAAAAAAAAAAUAUUUUUUUUUAAAAAAAAAUUCCUCAAGGUAACUCGUCUUUUGAAAAAAAAAAUUUUAUAUAUAUAUAUAUUUUUAAAAAUUCCCAAAUUAUAUUAAAAAAAAAAACCACCCGGGUGGAUAUUCGGAGAAAGUGGGAUGUCAUCCGGACAGAAUUCCUACCCGGGUGGAAUGAGCGAUGAUUCCAUCCGGGGGGAAUGAUCGUUCCACCCGGGUAGGAAUUCUGUCCGGAUGACAUCCCACUUUAUCCGGAUAUCCACCCGAGUGGUUUUUUUUUUUUAAUAUAAUUUGGGAAUUUUAAAAAGAUAUAUAUAUAAAUUUUUUUUUUUUUCAAGAGACGAGUUACCAGGCUCCUAAUAGGUUUUGUACUAUUUUUAAACAACUUGAAUUUGAUAUUAAGACAAUUAUUGAUAGUUUUUUUUUUUCUUUUUUUUACCAAACUAUUUCAUUAAGACAUUCCCUACAAAAAUUAACACAUAAGAAAUAAAAUUUUGAGUUUUUUGAGUUAUUGUACAAGGUAUUACACUAACUGUACAAGACAAAUUUAGUAAUUGUAUAAGGGUGUAUAAGACUACUUUUUGUUAAGGAUUUCAAGUGAUUUUGAAAAAAUUUCCUAUUUUUUUCCAUUCAAAAUUUUUUCCCCCACUCAAAUUCUCUCACUCAAGAAUUGUUUCAAAUUUUAUUUUUAAAUUUCAUCAUCAAAAAUUUGUAAUUGUAUAUUUUGUUUUGUAGUUUUAGCAAUGUUAUUUCUUUUCACUAUAUAUUUUUUUUUUGUGAAAUUUUAUCCAAAUGAAUCUAUAUUUAAAAUUAUAAUCAUAUUUAUCAAAAUUUUUACUAAGAUUAUCUUUAAUUCUUUUAAUAUAUUUAUACUCAUUUAUUUAAAAAAUGAAAAACUAAUUUAUUUAUUUUUUUGUAAACAUGUUCUAUUACCUUUCAAGUAAAAAAUUAGAUAAGUUUCAAAGUCAAUAAAUAAAAAAAUUAAAUACCACUUUCAAUAAUUUUUAGAUAAAAUUUUAUAUAAUAUAUUUUAUUUGAAACUUAAUUUUUAAAGUUUAACUAAAAAAUUGUAUUGACAAUUUUCUUGUUGUGGGUCAAAAUACUUUGCAUUAGUCUAUCUAGAUAAGAAAAAUUAUUAAUAUAAUAUUAGAACUUCAUAUCUUAGUUUUUUUUUUUCAACAAAUUUAUCUUUUUAAAAAUUUUAAAAUAAAAUCAUUAAAAAUUAAAAAGCUAAAAAGAUAUAUAUAAUAAAGUGAAGUGAUAGUUAAUUUUAAAAUUUUUUAAAAUAUGGUUAAUGUAGAAAAUAUAAAAAAUAAUUAAAAAUAAGAGAAAAAUAUAGAUGAAAGGGUAAUAUAAAUUUAAAAUAAAAAAUGAAAAUUAAACUAAAAGAUAAAUACAAAAAGAUAAAAAAUAUUUGGAUGAAAAAUCCCAAAAUUUUUAUCAUUGCUUUUAAUAAGAGCAAAAAGAUUCAAUAUCUUUAAAAAUGAAAAAUAAAAAAAUAUUAUUGUUUUUUAUUUGACAUAAAAUAGAAAUAUAUAUUGGAAUAAAAAGGACAAAAAAAAGUUAGAAAUGAGUAAUAUUUAAUAGGGAAUAGAAAAGGAAAUAAAAAAUAAAAAAAAAAUUAAAAUUCACACUCACUUGUAGGCAUAUAAGGGAUAAGGGUAUUUUAGGAAUUAAUGAAAGACAAUAUCCUUCAUCUUCAUUUUCAUACUUUGUUUGGGUCUUGGGCUUAAAUAUGAGUGAUUGGAGGACCAAAUGUUAAUUUUUGGACCCAGCUGGACCCAAAACACAAUUCUCCCUUAAUAUUAUACGCCUCUCAGAAGGCUCUAUAUAUAUAUUAUUAAUUUGGCCAUUGACCGAUGGACAAUAUGAUUAAGGGUCAAGAGCAGUAAUGAAACCGUGAAGCACUUGGAUAGACCUUAUAAGAAGCCAUCAAAUGGAGCAGAGGAACCAAGCUUAGAUAGUGAUAUAAUGGCUGAAGAAGUGAAGCUAAUUGGGGUGUGGGGAAGCCCAUUUAGUCGCAGAGUAGAGAUUGCUCUGAAACUGAAAGGAGUCCAGUAUGAGUACAUUGAAGUUGAUCUCACUAAUAAGAGCCCUUUGCUUCUCAAGUCUAACCCCGUUCACAAGAAGGUCCCUGUGCUCUUGCACAACGGGAAGCCCAUCGCGGAAUCACUCGUUAUUCUCGAGUACAUCGACGAGACCUGGAAAGCCAAUCCUAUCUUGCCUCAGCACCCUUAUGACAGAGCCAUGGCACGCUUCUGGGCUAAGUACAUAGAUGAAAAGGUAUAAUACCAUUUUUCCCAUGCCCUUUUUUUUUCCCCCGCAGAACAUUCUUG
rnacentral:lncRNA from 1 species